rnacentral:rRNA from 1 species
AACGAACGCUGGCGGCAGGCUUAACACAUGCAAGUCGAACGCGUGUAGCAAUACACGAGUGGCGCACGGGUGAGUAACGCGUGGAUAUCUGCCUUUUGGUUCGGAAUAACCCCGGGAAACUGGGGCUAAUACCGGAUGGUUCCUUCGGGAUAAAGAUUUAUCGCCAAAAGAUGAGUCCGCGUCCGAUUAGCUAGUUGGUGAGGUAAUGGCUCACCAAGGCGACGAUCGGUAGCUGGGCUGAGAGGACGAUCAGCCACACUGGGACUGAGACACGGCCCAGACUCCUACGGGAGGCAGCAGUGGGGAAUAUUGGACAAUGGGGGCAACCCUGAUCCAGCCAUGCCGCGUGAGUGAUGAAGGCCUUCGGGUUGUAAAGCUCUUUUGGCGGGGACGAUGAUGACGGUACCCGCAGAAUAAGCCCCGGCUAACUUCGUGCCAGCCGCCGCGGUAA